UGAGGAUGAUGCACUCAACUU
rnacentral:siRNA from 1 species